rnacentral:rRNA from 1 species
CUACGGGGGGCAGCAGUGGGGAAUAUUGGACAAUGGGGGAAACCCUGAUCCAGCAAUGCCGCGUGUGUGAAGAAGGCCUGCGGGUUGUAAAGCACUUUCGGUUGGGAGGACUGCUUCUAGCACUAAUAUUGUUGGAAGUUGACGUUACCUUCAGAAGAAGCACCGGCUAACUCCGUGCCAGCAGCCGCGGUAAUACGGAGGGGCAAGCGUUAAUCGGAAUUACUGGGCGUAAAGCGCGCGUAGGCGGCUAGAUCAGUCGGGUGUGAAAGCCCCGGGCUUAACCUGGGAACUGCAUCCGAUACUGGCUAGCUUGAGUACAGGAGAGGAGAGUGGAAUUCCACAUGUAGCGGUGAAAUGCGUAGAUAUGUGGAGGAACACCAAUGGCGAAGGCAGCUCUCUGGCCUGAUACUGACGCUGAGGUGCGAAAGCGUGGGGAGCAAACAGGAUUAGAUACCCGAGUAGUC